CCAUCAGCAACGCACCUCUUCCCCCCUUUUCUCCAUUCACGCGCAGCAGCAAUAGGGGAAAAAGGAAUUAGGCAGCAGCCUCACCUCCCUCAACGUAGCAACACACAACACCCCUCCAACAGAAACAGAGCAGAGAGUGAGAGGCUGAGUUGCGGCUGAUGAGGGGAGGCGGGAAGCCCACCGCGUCGCGCCGCCGCGUCAUCACCAAUCUUGCUUGCCCGGCCGCCGUGAAGCUCGUCCCUGCCAUGGUCUGUCACUGCCUAUCACCGUCGGGAGCAUCCUUGUCGUCGCCACCAUGAAGCUGCCGAUCUAGCCUGAGUAAGAGAGAGAUCGAGACGAGCUUUGAGGAAGGGAGAAGCUGCACUGUCAGCGUCGCACAGAGAGGGACUCGCCGCAAGCUCCGUCGUCCUCACUGCUAUGCCACCAUCGGGCCCGCAAUCGUGGAGGAAGCACAGCGCCGUCGUGGGUCCAUUUCCACCGAACUUGAAGGAGGAGGAAAGUCGAGACUGGGCGAUGUUGGGAGAGAAGGAAAUGCGAGCUGGAGGAGCUACAUCCAGUCGCCGCCGACGCGCCACUGAUUGCCGCCGUUCCGCCGCAGCGAGGGCCCCUUUUCUGCUAGAUCUGCCGCCGUCAAGCAUGAAGGGAGGAGGAAAUGGCGUCGCGAGUUGGGGAUGAUCCUUUUACGGCCGUUGGAUCUGACUGGAGAGGGAAGUGGUGACGGUGGUGGAUGUUGGUGCUGGUUAGCACCGUCACUGCUGUUGGCCGUUCGAACUGCUCUGCCGUCUCUGCCACCGGAGAAUGCAGCUUAGUCACCGGAGAACUUUGCCGUUGAUCCAUCAGAGCUUUUGGCUGCCACCGGAGCUGUUGUCAGGGCCGGUUCAAAAUCGCAACUGCUUCGUGUUGUUAUUCCGUGUUGCUAUGGUUAUUACAAAAGUGGCUGGGAGCUGAGGUUUUGGUUGCCGGUGAUUUCGAGUUGAGGUGGAAAGAACUCCGUGAGAUGUUUGGGUUAUGGAUUUGCGUUUUGAGAUAUGGAUGCAGAAGUCAAGAAGAGUGUAUUUAAUUAUUGUUGAGAUGCUCUGUGUUGCUUUAGAUUAUUAUUUAUUGUAUCGUCGCCUUUAUCUUGAUAUAUUCUGUAAGAGGGAUAUGAACUGUAUUGGAUAAUGCUUGUAAUAUUAUUUAUGUAUAUGUCUAUAUAUAUAUAUGUGCUCUUGUGAGUUGUUGUAAGUGUAUCGAAUGUAUGGAUGUACGUUGUAUAGCAAAAGUAUUUUUGGGAGCGGUAUUGCGGUUUAAAGUUUUAAACAGGCUCAUAUUUUAGUAUUAAAUAGUAUAAAUGUCAUCGUAAUGUCCGAGCUAUCAAAGUCACGCAGCCGGAAGCGUGGGCUUUGAUUGUUAGGGUGUUACAUUAUGGUAUCAGAGCGGCCUUUCCUGUAGAGCCUGAGGAAUGGACCGACUAUGCUUCAGUUGCAUACUCUGAGCGUUUGUCAUGUACUAGGUCUUGUUGAAUGACGAGAAUUAGAGCUUUAUGCACAUGACGGUCUAUUGAUUAACGCUGUUAGUAUUGCAUUGCAUGAUUCUUUGUAUUAAGUUUGGCCGGUUAAUACUAGUGAAUUAUGUCUAUGAAAGCACUAAUGGGUUAUCAUAGACGAUAUAUGAGUUUUGAGCAAAGCGAAUAACGGGUUUUGGGAAUGUUGGAAACUAUUUCUCGAGGCUAUUCAGUUGUGUGUUUUGGAUUUUGUUCGAGUCGACCUGUUCUUUCAUAGCCUAACUUGAAGUUCUUGUUUGCUACUCCUCGUGAAAAGUAAUUUGAUAUUUCAACUUUAUUCCUCCAUUCACAUGCAUUCUUGUGGGAUCUAAUUGCAUAUGCUUGUUUAACAUCCUUGUUGUAUCCAUCUUUCUUCGUUUAAAUUCUUCUCCUUGAUUCAUGUGUUUUUUGAUGUACCUUUAAACUGUCUUGAUGCGAUGUGCCCUUUAAGUCCCUGUUCGAGUCCAUUUUUAGAGAAAUUGUUGAUUCGAUUUUUCUCUUAUUU